rnacentral:rRNA from 1 species
AAUCAACGCUGGCGGCGCGCUUAACACAUGCAAGUCGCACGAGAAAGCAGGAGCAAUCCUGUGAGUACAGUGGCGUACGGGUGAGUAACACGUGGGUAAUCUACCUCUUAGUGGGGAAUAACGCUGGGAAACCGGCGCUAAUACCGCAUAAGCUCGAGAGAGGAAAGCAGCAAUGCGCUGAGAGAGGAGCCCGCGGCCGAUUAGCUAGUUGGGAGGGUAAAAGCCUACCAAGGCAGAGAUCGGUAGCCGGCCUGAGAGGGCACACGGCCA